rnacentral:misc_RNA from 1 species
GAUGAAGAACGUAGCGAAAUGCGAUAAGUAAUGUGAAUUGCAGAAUUCAGUGAAUCAUCGAAUCUUUGAACGCACAUUGCGCCCGCCAGUAUUCUGGCGGGCAUGCCUGUUCGAGCGUCAUUUCAACCAUCAAGCCCCCGGGCUUGUGUUGGGGACCUGCGGCUGCCGCAGGCCCUGAAAAGCAGUGGCGGGCUCGCUGUCACACCGAGCGUAGUAGAUUUUAUCUCGCUCAGGGCGUGCUGCGGGUUCCGGCCGUUAAACCACCUUCAUAACCCAAGGUUGACCUCGGAUCAGGUAGGAAGACCCGCUGAACUUAAGCAUAUCAUUAAGCGGAGGA